UACGGAGGGUGCAAGCGUUACUCGGGAUCACUGGGCGUAAAGAGCGCGUAGGCGGGGUAGUAAGUCAGAUGUGAAAUCCUAUGGCUUAACCAUAGAACUGCAUUUGAAACUGCUACUCUAGAGUAUGGAAGAGGUAGGUGGAAUUCUUGGUGUAGGGGUAAAAUCCGCAGAGAUCAAGAGGAAUACUCAUUGCGAAGGCGACCUGCUGGAACACUACUGACGCUGAUGCGCGAAAGCGUGGGGAGCAAACAGG
rnacentral:rRNA from 1 species